ACCUCGGAGCACUGGGGCCUCCUUCUCUGCCCUCCCUCCUCAGGCAAGGCCUCUGGAGCUCCCCAGCUCUCGUGGAAGCCCCAGGGGCCCAGGACUGACCCAGCCUCUUUCACAGCCAGAGUCCUGGUGGAGGAUGACGAGAUCAUGCAGGGAUUCAUCAGGGCUUUCAGGCCCCUGCCCAGGCACCUAUGGUACUUGCUGGACUUGAAACAGAUGGAAGGUGAGCUCUGCCUAGGACACGCCCAGCCUCAGCUGGAGGAGAAGCUGCCUCUUUCUCAGCCUGAGCCCCCUGCUGGCUCUGUAGGACUCAGGUCACUCCUUUUUGGCCCCUCCCCUGUUCUCCCCCGGCCUCCUGGGGUGCAGAGCCACCCUGAGAUGGGGUCCUGCCCUCUCCCGCCAUCUUUUCACCCCCUCUCUAGCCCUGGGGCUGCUGUGUCCCCAGCUGUCUCUUCUCUCGCUGACACCUCCACUGUCCCAUCUCCUCCCACAGAGCUGUGCCGUUUCUAGGUGAGCUCCUGCCUGGUCCUGCCUCCUGGGUAAUGUAUCAGCCUCGCCCACUGUCUGCGGCUGCCUCUCUGGGCCCCUGGGACAGACCCCACUGUGUCCAGUUCAGGGCUGACCCUGCAGGAAUGAACUGGGGUCUGGUCUUGUGAUUCCAGAAUAAGAUGGAGUCUCGCUCUGUCACCAGGCUGGAGUGCAGUGGCACAAUCUCAGCUCACUGCAACCUCGACCUCCUGGGUUCAAGCGAUUCUCCUGGCUCAGCCCCCCGACAUUUUUUAAAAUUUAUUUAUUUUCUUAGAGAUGGGGUCUUGCCAUGUUGCCCAGUUGGUCUCAAACCCCUGGGCUAAGAUAAUCCUCCCACCUCAGCCUCCCAAAGAG
rnacentral:lncRNA from 1 species